CUGCAGUGAUGAACCGGAAAUUGUUUGAAAGCUUUUGAACAAAAAGCAUAAUGAAUAUUUGUCCUGAGCGGUUAACUGAGCAG